rnacentral:rRNA from 1 species
UGCGUAGGUGGUUCCAUAAGUCAGUGGUGAAAUACGGCAGCUUAACUGUCGAGGUGCCAUUGAUACUGCGGGACUUGAGUACAGACGAGGUAGGCGGAAUUGACGGUGUAGCGGUGAAAUGCUUAGAUAUCGUCAAGAACACCGAUAGCGAAGGCAGCUUACUAGACUGUAACUGACACUGAGGCACGAAAGUGUGGGGAUCAAACAGGAUUAGAUACCCUGGUAGUCC